GCCAGAUGACGACCGGCGCACGGGUGAGUAACGCGUAUCCAACCUGCCCAUGGGUCAGGAAUAACCUUCCGAAAGGGAGCCUAAUACCUGAUGCAGUGAGAAGAAGGCCUCUGAUUUUCACGAAAGACUUCGGUCGCCGAUGGAUGGGGAUGCGUACGAUUAGGCAGCAGGCGGGUAACGGCCCACCUGGCCAACGAUCGUUAGGGGUUCUGAGAGGAAGGUCCCCCACACUGGUACUGAGACACGGACCAGACUCCUACGGGAGGCAGCAGUGAGGAAUAUUGGUCAAUGGGCGCAAGCCUGAACCAGCCAAGUAGCGUGCAGGAACCGACUGCCCUAUGGGUUGUAAAACUGCUUUUAUGCGGGGAUAAAGUGGGCCACGCGUGGCUUAUUGCAGGUACCGCAUGAAUAAGGACCGGCUAAUUCCGUGCCAGCAGCCGC
rnacentral:rRNA from 1 species